ensembl:lncRNA
AUGUUUUAUGUAAGUCAUAGUGAACUCUUCACACGAUCAGUGAACAGCAGACAGCUGAUCUGUGUUUAUUCACUCAAGACUGAACCUGAGAUCAGAUCACCACACAGUGACACAUACACCUUCAGAGACACAGUCACCAUCAGAGAUCUUCCUCAGGCCAAGUUGAGAGCGUCUGCUUCAGUUAUUCUGGAAACAGACACAGUUGAGCUGAGCUGUGAGAAUACUGAAGAUCUGAAGAUGGAGAAGUGUUUCUUCAACAUAAAUGGAAGAGAAAGUAACUCAAAACAGAGCUCAUCAUGUCAGCUCUCACUCACUGGAUCUCAGAUCAGUGUUUGGUCUGGAGGUCAGAGUUCAUCUGUGAGAAUAAGCUGCUUCUACACUGUGAAUUUGUCACAAGUUCAAAAACCAUCUGCUCACUCUGAUCCAGUGACAGUAACAGUCAACAUUUCAACAUCAAUAUCCCCUCAAAAAACUUCACAACUGGACUCUGUCAUUUCCACGUCUGAAACCCCAGUGUACCGCACAACAGAUCUAUGGUUUAUAGUGCUGGUUUUUACUUGUGUUGCUGUCAUUUUGUCCGGACUCAUGGGACUCAGCUGUCUCUGCGUGUUUGCAGGUAAAAAAAUAAGAAAAGGGUAA